rnacentral:misc_RNA from 1 species
UUGAAAGCUUUGGGGAAGUUCUGUUGCUGGCCAUUGGCAUGUGCACGUUCUUCUCUAAUCUAUUCAUCCACCUGUGCACUUUUUGUAGGAAGGUUUCUUUUAGGUUGGCUUAGGUUAACUUGAAUGAGACUUUACCUAUGUCUUAUAAACUCUAUUGUAUGUUUUGAAUGUUAUUUUAUUGGGACUUAAUUGGCCCUUUAAAACUUGUA